rnacentral:rRNA from 1 species
UGCUAUACAUGCAAGUCGAACGCGUUGGCCCAAUUGAUUGAUGGUGCUUGCACCUGAUUGAUUUUGGUCGCCAACGAGUGGCGGACGGGUGAGUAACACGUAGGUAACCUGCCCAGAAGCGGGGGACAACAUUUGGAAACAGAUGCUAAUACCGCAUAACAGCGUUGUUCGCAUGAACAACGCUUAAAAGAUGGCUUCUCGCUAUCACUUCUGGAUGGACCUGCGGUGCAUUAGCUUGUUGGUGGGGUAACGGCCUACCAAGGCGAUGAUGCAUAGCCGAGUUGAGAGACUGAUCGGCCACAAUGGGACUGAGACACGGCCCAUACUCCUACGGGAGGCAGCAGUAGGGAAUCUUCCACAAUGGGCGCAAGCCUGAUGGAGCAACACCGCGUGAGUGAAGAAGGGUUUCGGCUCGUAAAGCUCUGUUGUUAAAGAAGAACACGUAUGAGAGUAACUGUUCAUACGUUGACGGUAUUUAACCAGAAAGUCACGGCUAACUACGUGCCAGCAGCCGCGGUAAUACGUAGGUGGCAAGCGUUAUCCGGAUUUAUUGGGCGUAAAGAGAGUGCAGGCGGUUUUCUAAGUCUGAUGUGAAAGCCUUCGGCUUAACCGGAGAAGUGCAUCGGAAACUGGAUAACUUGAGUGCAGAAGAGGGUAGUGGAACUCCAUGUGUAGCGGUGGAAUGCGUAGAUAUAUGGAAGAACACCAGUGGCGAAGGCGGCUACCUGGUCUGCAACUGACGCUGAGACUCGAAAGCAUGGGUAGCGAACAGGAUUAGAUACCCUGGUAGUCCAUGCCGUAAACGAUGAGUGCUAGGUGUUGGAGGGUUUCCGCCCUUCAGUGCCGGAGCUAACGCAUUAAGCACUCCGCCUGGGGAGUACGACCGCAAGGUUGAAACUCAAAGGAAUUGACGGGGGCCCGCACAAGCGGUGGAGCAUGUGGUUUAAUUCGAAGCUACGCGAAGAACCUUACCAGGUCUUGACAUCUUGCGCCAACCCUAGAGAUAGGGCGUCUCCUUCGGGAACGCAAUGACAGGUGGUGCAUGGUCGUCGUCAGCUCGUGUCGUGAGAUGUUGGGUUAAGUCCCGCAACGAGCGCAACCCUUGUUACUAGUUGCCAGCAUUAAGUUGGGCACUCUAGUGAGACUGCCGGUGACAAACCGGAGGAAGGUGGGGACGACGUCAGAUCAUCAUGCCCCUUAUGACCUGGGCUACACACGUGCUACAAUGGACGGUACAACGAGUCGCGAACUCGCGAGGGCAAGCAAAUCUCUUAAAACCGUUCUCAGUUCGGACUGCAGGCUGCAACUCGCCUGCACGAAGUCGGAAUCGCUAGUAAUCGCGGAUCAGCAUGCCGCGGUGAAUACGUUCCCGGGCCUUGUACACACCGCCCGUCACACCAUGAGAGUUUGUAACACCCAAAGUCGGUGGGGUAACCUUUUAGGAGCCAGCCGCCUAAGGUGGACAGA